rnacentral:rRNA from 1 species
UACGUAGGGCGCAAGCGUUGUCCGGAAUUAUUGGGCGUAAAGAGCUCGUAGGCGGCCAGUUGCGUCUGCUGUGAAAUCCCGGGGCUCAACCCCGGGCGUGCAGUGGAUACGGGCUGGCUAGAGGCAGGCAGGGGAGAACGGAAUUCCCGGUGUAGCGGUGAAAUGCGCAGAUAUCGGGAGGAACACCGGUGGCGAAGGCGGUUCUCUGGGCCUGUACUGACGCUGAGGAGCGAAAGCGUGGG